UACGGAGGGAGCUAGCGUUAUUCGGAAUUACUGGGCGUAAAGCGUACGUAGGCGGCUUUGCAAGUUAGAGGUGAAAGCCUGGAGCUCAACUCCAGAACUGCCUUUAAAACUGCAUCGCUUGAAUCCAGGAGAGGUGAGUGGAAUUGCGAGUGUAGAGGUGAAAUUCGUAGAUAUUCGCAGGAACACCAGUGGCGAAGGCGGCUCACUGGUCCGAUACUGACGCUGAGGUGCGAAAGCGUGGGGAGCAAACAGG
rnacentral:rRNA from 1 species